rnacentral:lncRNA from 1 species
AUAAAGUUUCUUCAAAAUAUCCUUGGACAAGAGAAUUAAAGCCUAGAGAACUAGGCAGCAACACUGUCUUCCCCAUCAAGAGUUGUUUCCAGAGUAUCCUCCUCGCCAUCUGCUCCCAUCCAAGUGGAUGAUCAUCGCAAAAGAAAACACAUACAACAUGAUACAAACACAAGCAAGCAAGGGUGAGUUAAUUAUAUAAAUAAGACAACAUGCAUCAGAUUACUCAUGUGACCAUACAAAAGUGGACUAAGGACAAAACAUGAUUAAAACACACAACCUAAGCAUGUUAAUUUCUAGACCUGACUCGUCCAGACUUUAAAAUGAUAGUCGGGCUAUGGCGAGUCUUGCACCCGUGGUGACUUAUGAAACUUGGGUUCCCCACCCUGCCACACUCACGAGGUUAGUCCGUUCCGGGCCUUGAGGCAUACUGGGAGCCCCCAAGACUAAGGACCUCCUGCUACUCCUCACCACAUGGUUCAACCUCUCUAAGUGAGUAUGAUUGACCAUUGGAGCGUCAGAAUGACUCCCAAGGCUGAGCCCCUACUUUCAUUUUAAAACACUAAGGAUCUCACCGAGAGAUUCUACAUUUACCACCACCAACACACUAUAAAUCAUGUUUUAUUCCUUCCCAAUUCACAUACUUUUGAUACUACCAUAACCAUUUAUACUGUUGUACAUUAAACUUCAAGUCAUGCUUCUUAAACCAAGUAACUAUCUUUUAAUUAACCAUAAAACAAAGAACAAACAAAAAGA